UGGCGAACGGGUGAGUAACACGUGGGCAACCUGCCCAAAAGAGGGGGAUAACACUUGGAAACAGGUGCUAAUACCGCAUAACCAUAGUUACCGCAUGGUAACUAUGUAAAAGGUGGCUAUACUACCGCUUUUGGAUGGGCCCGCGGCGCAUUAGCUAGUUGGUAGGGUAAAGGCUUACCAAGGCAAUGAUGCGUAGCCGAAUUGAGAGGUUGAUCGGCCACAUUGGGACUGAGACACGGCCCAAACUCCUACGGGAGGCAGCAG
rnacentral:rRNA from 1 species